rnacentral:tRNA from 1 species
CGCGGGGUGGAGCAGUCUGGUAGCUCGUCGGGCUCAUAACCCGAAGGUCGCAGGUUCAAAUCCUGUCCCCGCUA